GUGAGGAAUUUUCCGCAAUGGGAGAAAGCCUGACGGAGCAAUGCCGCGUGAAGGAUGAAGGCCUAUGGGUUGUAAACUUCUUUUCUCAGAAAAGAAUUAUGACGGUAUCUGAGGAAUAAGCAUCGGCUAACUCUGUGCCAGCAGCCGCGGUAAGACAGAGGAUGCAAGCGUUAUCCGGAAUGAUUGGGCGUAAAGCGUCUGUAGGUUGUUUAAAAAGUAUUCUGUCAAAGAUUAGGGCUUAACCCUAGAUAGGCAGAAUAAACUUUUAAGCUAGAGUUUGGUAGAGGCAGAGGGAAUUCCCGGUGGAGCGGUGAAAUGCGUAGAUAUCGGGAGGAACACCAAAGGCGAAGGCACUCUGCUGGGCCAAUACUAACACUGAGAGACGAAAGCGAGGGGAGCAAAUGGGAUUAGAUACCCGGGUAGUCC
rnacentral:rRNA from 1 species